rnacentral:rRNA from 1 species
GUGAGGAAUAUUGGGCAAUGGACGCAAGUCUGACCCAGCAACGCCGCGUGGAGGAUGAAGGUUCUUGGAUCGUAAACUCCUUUUGCAGGGGAAAAGCAAGGAUGGUACCCUGAGAAUAAGUCACGGCUAACUACGUGCCAGCAGCCGCGGUAAUACGUAGGUGACAAGCGUUAUCCGGAUUUAUUGGGCGUAAAGCGCACGCAGGCGGUCUUUCAAGUCUGACGUGAAAUCUCUCGGCUUAACCGGGAGCGGUCGUUGGAAACUGAAGGACUUGAGGCGAUGAGAGGGGUGUGGAAUUCCCGGUGUAGUGGUGGAAUGCGUAGAUAUCGGGGGGAACAUCAGUGGCGAAAGCGGCACCCUGGCAUUAGCCUGACGCUCAUGUGCGAAAGCGUGGGGAGCGAACGGGAUUAGAAACCCCAGUAGUCC